AAAAUAGCUAAUGAACUUGUAUAAGUAUAUAUUUUGAAAGUAUAAAAAAGAGGGAAAAUCCUCUAUUAGCUU
rnacentral:tRNA from 1 species